AUACGAAGGGUGCAAGCGUUAUUCGGAUUUACUGGGCGUAAAGCGUACGUAGGCGGUUAUUUAAGUCAGAUGUGAAAGCCCCGGGCUUAACUUGGGAACUGCAUUUGAAACUGGGUAACUAGAGUUUAGUAGAGGGGAGUGGAAUUUCAGGUGUAGCGGUGAAAUGCGUAGAGAUCUGAAGGAACACCAGUGGCGAAGGCGACUCCCUGGACUAAAACUGACGCUGAGGUACGAAAGCGUGGGUAGCAAACAGGAUUAGAAACCCUAGUAGUCC
rnacentral:rRNA from 1 species